GAUUAACGCUAGCGGCAGGCCUAAUACAUGCAAGUCGAACGGCAGCACGGGUAGCAAUACCUGGUGGCGAGUGGCGCACGGGUGCGUAACGCGUAUGCAAUCUACCUAUAACUGGGGAAUAGCCUUCCGAAAGGAAGAUUAAAACCGCAUAAUAUCACGAAGCGGCAUCGUUUUGUGAUCAAAUCUCCGGAGGUUAUAGAUGAGCAUGCGUGACAUAGCUAGUUGGUGAGGUAACGGCUCACCAAGGCUACGAUGUCUAGGGGGUCUGAGAGGAUGAUCCCCACCA
rnacentral:rRNA from 1 species